UACGUAGGGGGCAAGCGUUGUCCGGAAUCACUGGGCUUAAAGCGCGUGUAGGCGGGUCGUUAAGUGUCCGGGUGAAAUCCCACGGCUCAACCGUGGAACUGCCGGGCAUACUGGCGAUCUUGAGGCAUUCAGGGGCGAGCGGAACAAAUGGUGGAGCGGUGAAAUGCGUAGAUAUCAUUUGGAACGCCAAUGGUGAAAACAGCUCGCUGGGAAUGAUCUGACGCUGAGACGCGAAAGCCAGGGGAGCGAACGGG
rnacentral:rRNA from 1 species